AAAGAAUAAAGUGCUUGAAUAUUUCAAUACUCAUCCGAAAACAGACAUUGCUUGGAUAGAAUGCGACGAAGAUGGUAACCAGAUGUUUGAUAUAUCUGGAGAACUAAUGCUACAGCUUACAAAGAAAGAAUCCUAUUUGGAGUCAGAAUUCAUCGACUUCUACAUUAGCAGAUUGAAGACAAAGAUGAACUCUAACAGCAAGUAUGACAAAGCGAUAUUCCUGUCGCCAAAAGCAUACAUCUCUUACUUGAAGGAUUACGAAGAAUUCAAGAAAUUUUGGAUUCCGAAGCUU